CCUACGGGAGGCUGCAGUCGAGAAUUUUUCUCAAUGGGGGAAACCCUGAAGGAGCGACGCCGCGUGGGGGAUGAAGGGUUUCGAUCCGUAAACCCCUGUCAUUCGCGAACAAUGCUUACUGUUUAAGAGAUGGUGAGUUGAUAGUAGCGGAAGAGGAAGGGACGGCUAACUCUGUGCCAGCAGCCGCGGUAAUACAGAGGUCCCGAGCGUUGUUCGGAUUCACUGGGCGUAAAGGGUGCGUAGGUGGUGAGGAAAGUCGGAUGUGAAAGCUCCGGGCUCAACCCGGAAAUGGCAUUGGAAACUACCUUGCUGGAGGAUUGGAGGGGGGACUGGAAUUCUCGGUGUAGCAGUGAAAUGCGUAGAUAUCGAGAGGAACACCAGUGGCGAAGGCGAGUCCCUGGACAAAUCCUGACACUGAGGCACGAAAGCUAGGGGAGCAA
rnacentral:rRNA from 1 species